rnacentral:rRNA from 1 species
GAUGAACGCUAGCUAUAGGCUUAACACAUGCAAGUCGAGGGGAAACGGCAUUAUGUGCUUGCACAUUUUGGACGUCGACCGGCGCACGGGUGAGUAUCGCGUAUCCAACCUGCCCUUUACUUGGGGAUACCCCGUUGAAAGACGGCCUAAUACCCGAUGUAAUUCAUUGAUGGCAUCAGAUAUGAAUAAAAGAUUUAUCGGUAAAGGAUGGGGAUGCGUCUGAUUAGCUUGUUGGUGAGGUAACGGCUCACCAAGGCGACGAUCAGUAGGGGUUCUGAGAGGAAGGUCCCCCACAGUGGAACUGAGACACGGUCCAAACACCUACGGGAGGCAGCAGUGAGGAAGAUUGAUCAAUGGGCGCAAGCCUGAACCAGCCAAGUAGCGUGCAGGAAGACGGCCCUAUGGGUUGUAAACUGCUGUUAUACGAGAAUAAUUUGAUGCACGUGUGCGUUAUUGCAUGUAUCGUAUGAAUAAGGACCGGCUAAUUCCGUG